ensembl:snRNA U6 U6 spliceosomal RNA
AUGCUCGCCUCAGCAGCACAUGUACUAAAAUUGGAAUGAUACAGAGAAGAUUAGCAUAGUCCCUGCACAAGAAUGACACGCAAAUUCAUGAAGCAUUCCAUAUUUUU